rnacentral:rRNA from 1 species
GAUGAACGCUGGCUACAGGCUUAACACAUGCAAGUCGAGGGGAAACGACGGGGAAGCUUGCUUCCCCGGGCGUCGACCGGCGCACGGGUGAGUAACGCGUAUCCAACCUGCCUCUGACUGAGGGAUAACCCGUCGAAAGUCGGCCUAAUACCUCAUGGCAUCGUCUGCGGGCAUCCAACGACGAUUAAAGAUUUCAUCGGUCAGGGAUGGGGAUGCGUCUGAUUAGCUAGUUGGCGGGGUAACGGCCCACCAAGGCGACGAUCAGUAGGGGUUCUGAGAGGAAGGUCCCCCACAUUGGAACUGAGACACGGUCCAAACUCCUACGGGAGGCAGCAGUGAGGAAUAUUGGUCAAUGGGCGAGAGCCUGAACCAGCCAAGUAGCGUGCAGGAGGACGGCCCUGUGGGUUGUAAACUGCUUUUAUGCGGGGAUAAAGUGAGGGACGUGUCCUUCAUUGCAGGUACCGCAUGAAUAAGGACCGGCUAAUUCCGUG